rnacentral:rRNA from 1 species
UGCAAGUCGAACGGUAAGGCCCUUUCGGGGGUACACGAGUGGCGAACGGGUGAGUAACACGUGGGUAAUCUGCCCUGCACUUCGGGAUAAGCCUGGGAAACCGGGUCUAAUACCGGAUAUGAGCUCCUGCCGCAUGGUGGGGGUUGGAAAGUUUUUCGGUGCAGGAUGAGUCCGCGGCCUAUCAGCUUGUUGGUGGGGUAAUGGCCUACCAAGGCGACGACGGGUAGCCGGCCUGAGAGGGUGAUCGGCCACACUGGGACUGAGACACGGCCCAGACUCCUACGGGAGGCAGCAGUGGGGAAUAUUGCACAAUGGGCGAAAGCCUGAUGCAGCGACGCCGCGUGGGGGAUGACGGUCUUCGGAUUGUAAACUCCUUUCAGUAGGGACGAAGCGAAAGUGACGGUACCUGCAGAAGAAGCACCGGCCAACUACGUGCCAGCAGCCGCGGUAAUACGUAGGGUGCAAGCGUUGUCCGGAAUUACUGGGCGUAAAGAGCUCGUAGGCGGUUUGUCACGUCGUCUGUGAAAUCCUCCAGCUCAACUGGGGGCGUGCAGGCGAUACGGGCAGACUUGAGUACUACAGGGGAGACUGGAAUUCCUGGUGUAGCGGUGAAAUGCGCAGAUAUCAGGAGGAACACCGGUGGCGAAGGCGGGUCUCUGGGUAGUAACUGACGCUGAGGAGCGAAAGCAUGGGGAGCAAACAGGAUUAGAUACCCUGGUAGUCCAUGCCGUAAACGGUGGGCGCUAGGUGUGGGGGUCCUUCCACGGAUUCCGUGCCGUAGCUAACGCAUUAAGCGCCCCGCCUGGGGAGUACGGCCGCAAGGC